UGAAGCUGGAGUUGCUAGUAAUCGCGAAUCAGCAUGUCGCGGUGAAUACGUUCCCGGGCCUUGUACACACCGCCCGUCACACCAUGAGAGUUGGCAAUACCCAACGUACGUGAUCUAACCCGCAAGGGAGGAAGCGUCCUAAGGUAGGGUCAGCGAUUGGGGUGAAGUCGUAACAAGGUACC
rnacentral:rRNA from 1 species